rnacentral:piRNA from 1 species
UGAUGGGCAAGGUGUUCUUUGGGCAACUGU